rnacentral:lncRNA from 1 species
CACACAUUUACCUUUCAGAAUGAAUAUUUUGGAGGCAAUAGUGAAGGUGGGUUAGAAAGGAGGAAAGACUGGAGAGAGAUAAGGAGUUAGAUUCGGAACCCCUACAAGAGAAAAUUAAGGUCUGAAUUUGGGGAUGGGGUCGCAGAGGGCAGAGGAUGAAGAAAUAAAUACAGAAGACAUUAGAAAGGACUCUGGUUUGUGGAGUGGAGAAAGGACAGGGAGAACUUGCUUCUAAUUGGCCUCCUUGCCGGAAGAAGCACCCCAUACAUACUCCAAAAACUUCCUCUCAGAUCCAAG